GGGGCUGUUUUUGGAUUCGACGAAUUUUAUUAAAUAAUGAAAUGCAUGUCGAGGGUGCGGCUGGACCUCGUAAAAAAGUCGCGCAUCAAUAAAUGCAAAUAAACAUAAAACAUUUGAACUAGCAGCUUAAUAAACUACGAGUUCCUUCUUAUUUACUUAAUUACUCUAAAAGUAAAUCAAAAAGAAGAUAAUAUAAUACAGAGUAAACGUGAAAAUAUUUUGCUUAUUAAAUUGAAACGUUUAAAAAAAUAAGCUAAAAAAUUUAAAAUAUGUAUGUCUGUUUUAAAUUUAUUAUCUUCGACAUAACUAAACAUGUAGAAUUUCUAUAUAUUAUAAUACUUUCGGAUGCGGGUUCAAAUCCCGCCAGCUCCACCA
rnacentral:tmRNA from 1 species